CUGUGUGGUCCGGAGUCAGUGGGUUAUCAUGUACUUGUACUACAUGCUUCUCUUCGGGUUACCAUGUACUUGUACUACAUGCUUCUCUCAUCUGUCCUUACUUCAUCAUCCCAGUCCUCAAGGGUCAUCGAACCCACUGACAACACUUGACCAUACA
rnacentral:sRNA from 1 species